CUUACUACGUUAUACAUUCUAUUGACCAAUCGUACGUUCCCAGUACUAUCCCCAAAAACCAAGUUUCCAUUUCCACUAGUUGCCGCUGUUACUUUAGCAUCCUAUUGAGAAUAGAAGUAUAAUCGCAGGAAAAGUUCGUGAACAAGUCGCCGAGUUAAUUCACUCGUAGUUCGUCGUGCAAAGAGAGUAAAAAAUUCAUGUAUCAUUUUAAUUGAUCGCGUGCAAUGCGAUCCAGUAGAAUCAGUGAAAUGAUUAGUGACUGUGAAAGAAUGGUUGCUGCCCUACUGAAACAAACUCGGUUAAGUAAACGGAUAAUGAACAACCAGUUGUCAUCGUCUGUUCCUAGGAAAUCGGCAAGCGGUGAAGAGACCAAACGUGCGGCUGAGCCAGGAACAAUAUUCGCGGCUGAACUAUUUUAGUUUCGAGAUAACUUUCUGCUCGGAAAACACGAAAGAACGUGAAAACUGAUUGUCACCCAUAAGUACGAGGUGGUCGCGAAUCUUCAAAGAAAUAAGUGACGCUAAGGAAAUGCCUGCCAGAAGUAUUAACAAUAACAGCAACAACAAGCACGGCAACGAGGACAACGACAGAAGGAAGAUAUUUCCAAGAGCAGCGGAUAACCACACCGUUGACGUUGGGAGACGCGUGACUGGCGUGUCUCCGUCUGUCCGGCAGGACGGUCGUCACUCGACUGAUAGGUGAAUGAAUGAAGUUGCUGAGAUUUCUGAGGUUUGCGAGAAAA